rfam:TPA: Bos taurus chromosome 11, whole genome shotgun sequence.
UCCUGGUGGCUCAGAUGGAAAAGAGUCUGCCUGCAACGCGGGAGACCCAGGUUCAAUCCCUGGAUCAGGAA